CUUGCUACAAACAUGCUAAUUCACCCACCCUCACCCCCCUAUACUCCCUGGAGAGGUUUCCCUGCAGAAUUGAGCAGUGGUGGUGACACUCAGGGCUUCUGGAAGAUCCCAGAGUGCAAGCAGGCUCCUGGAGUUGCUAGCUUCCAUAUACUUGCUAAUUCUCUAUUUUUCUGGGGCUGUAAAUGGAGAUUAAACUAUUACCCAAUGUUUUACCCCACAUGAAUCAUAUCCUAGGUGCUUUUUUUAAAAAAAAAUGUUCCACUUGUACUAUUUUCAAAGAAUUUUCAUGACAAAGCCCGUUUUACAGACUAAAAAACUAAGGCAAAAUGAUACACAAUCAGUGUAGCAUAGAUGAGCUCUAAAAUCAGGGAGUCUGACUUCUGGGCUCAGGCCCUUAAUCACCACAGUAUCAAUAAUAAAACUAGCAUUUAAAUUAAAGUUUAAAAGUACAACUGGUGGAUCUUAUGUUCUUGUCCUUGUUCCUGGCUAAUGAAGUAAACUCUCCAUGUCUCUUGCAGCUCCCUGCUCCCUCUGUGGGGCCUUGAAUUUUAUUGAAAAUAAGAUAGGCCCAAGGGUUACCUUGAGCUUCCAGAAUCUCUGUUUCUUCUUUAAUGGUGAAUAACAGCGCAUUCCUUUCAGAGUUUUGUUUGGAUGACAUUAGAAAGCAGUGUUAAAGUGACUGGCACACUGACUAGCCUUUACUAGGGGCUCAAUCCCUUUUUAUCCCAAAUUUAUCCCAAAUGCAGACUAUAUUCUCCCCACUCAGUCACUUCUCAUCCCCCUGUGGUUUGGAUUUUGCCCUUAGCCACCCCAGGAACUGUUCUGCAGAUAAUAACACAUGCUUCAAGUGUGUUUGAGAGGAUUCAAUGGGAUCAUGUGGGUGAUCUUUGCCUGGCAUAGAGAACAUAGUAGCUUUUGUGAUUAAUAAUGAAGACCUAAUUGCGAAAUUCAAUAGGCCCUGGAAACUCACUCCCUCUUUGAUUUUUCCCUGUGAAUCUUUAGUUGUGUUCCCUCCCCUUUCUGCUGUCUCAAUUCUGUGAGCUGCCUUCCCUAAUGUUUCUCACAUCUUUAUACUCUGCCCUGGGAGAAUGACAAAUCGAGAAGAUUCUUCUCCGCUCCUGCUGUUGAGGUGGUCACCUCUGACCUUUCAAUAUAUAAUUCUGGGUCUCCUACAGCCCUAACCAUCAUUGUCAAAAGUUCAUCCUAUUCCCCUUUCAAAGUGUCCCUGAGACUUGCCUCCCUUAAACUCCUGUGUAUACUUCUUUUGAGACAUUUGUCACUCUGUUCUCAACAUAAUUCAUUGUUUGUAGGAAGCUGUGUUGUGGGGCUGCAGACAACUGUGCAUCCUCAGUGCCCACCUUCAUCUCUUCCUAGUUCUGUAUAGUCCUUUCUCAGUACCUUUACUUUCUCAUUAGCAUAGUGCCUCCAGCAUUGCAAAAGCUUAAAGAGAGAUAGUGGAGACCUGAGAGAAUUAUGUGUCAGUUUUUUUUUUUUUUUCUAAAGAAGACAUCAAUUUUAGUGACCAGUCAUUACAUUCAGAAUAAGCAAAGUAAUGAGGUGAUGUUAAGCAUGUAGAAUAAUCUCUAGCAGGACUCUCAGCUGUAACUGCAAGAUGGUAUAAAGAGUCUGGAUGUGGAAACCAGUUAACUGAAGAUUGCAUUUAGGAGCCAAAUCCUAAACCUACAAUGGCACAUUUGCAACUAAUACACCCAGGAAGAUGGAACAAUGGUUGAAAUGGAUGAAGCCAGCAGCAGCAUGACCAGCAAUGCAAAUAAACCUACUCAUUCACAGCUGUCUGAGUGACCUUUUGGGGAAUUGAAUUGAAAGCAAAUUGAACUGGGGAAAAAAAAAACCCAAAAUCAAAAAUCCAGUCUCUAGUCUGUCAGAACACCUGGAGAUGCCAGUUGAGAUACUUUAAGAGAGAAGCACACAGAGUCUUAGAUCUGGAUGGAUUAAAUGGUUUCCGAAUACUGGAAUAUUUAGAAGCCUCCUCCCUAAAGCAAUUAAUUAAUGAGUAAAUAAAUCAUAGGAUUCAAAAUUUUGGCUGAACAUCAGAUUUCUUUGAUGCUCAGGACCCCUGAAAAGUGCAGCUUUUCAGAAAGAGUAACUUCAGAGAUGAAGGUAUUAGUAGUACAAGUGUCUUGUAUCUAAAUUCUCCAAAACAUCUGAUUAAUGAAUUAAAGUUGCUUUAAUGUUUUAAUAAUAGAACUUUCCUAUUUUAUAUUAGUGCUACUGUUACAAACAGCUAUUAAACCAUAGGACAUACCUCACUCUCUUUUCCUAAACACAAGAAAAGUUAGAAAGACAUGAGUUGAAAACAGCAGCAAACACAAAUUUAGGAUAUUACUGGAUUCUGUUAAGUUUAGCUCUACUUUUGUCAGCAAAAUCCUCUGCGUAUAUGUUUCUGUGAAUACUCUGUAUCUUUAUUUCCAUGAUUUACAUUCAUUGUCUAAAAUCUUCUCACAAAUGAGACCAAAUUCUACUUAUGUACAGGUGCUAAUAUAUCACAAUAAAACCUACUGUUAUAUAUAAUUAUAACUUGCCAAUAAAAAUAAAUUAAAAAAAAACUUAUAGAAAUGCCAAGAACACCUUUCCUUUAAUUACUAUUGAAUAUUCAUGUAAGCCUGAAUUAGUAGUUGUGGGCGCUCUGGUUCCUUCUUAUCUAUUUCACUACUGC
rnacentral:lncRNA from 1 species